rnacentral:rRNA from 1 species
AACGAACGCUGGCGGCAUGCCUAACACAUGCAAGUCGAACGAGACCUUCGGGUCUAGUGGCGCACGGGUGCGUAACGCGUGGGAACCUGCCCUUAGGUUCGGAAUAACUCCCCGAAAGGGGUGCUAAUACCGGAUAAUGUCUUCGGACCAAAGAUUUAUCGCCUUUGGAUGGGCCCGCGUUGGAUUAGCUAGUUGGUAGGGUAAAAGCCUACCAAGGCGACGUUCCAUAGCUGGUCUGAGAGGAUGACCAGCCACACUGGGACUGAGACACGGCCCAGACUCCUACGGGAGGCAGCAGUGGGGAAUAUUGGACAAUGGGCGAAAGCCUGAUCCAGCAAUGCCGCGUGAGUGAUGAAGGCCUUAGGGUUGUAAAGCUCUUUUACCCGGGAUGAUAAUGACAGUACCGGGAGAAUAAGCUCCGGCUAACUCCGUG